AAUAAAAAUAAAAAAGCUCCUUCAGCAGUUGUUCGAGAGAGAGAUACAAAAAAGUGUAAGCAAAUAAAAAACAACAAAAGUAUAAAAAAAAUAUAAUCAUCAAAGCUAACGAAUCGACGGACCGCAUCAAAGGACACAACCACAAACUGUGUGGGAAUGUUAAGCACUGCAAAGCGGUCAUGCGUUUCCUCCAAGCAACAAAGUCCGCGAUCGCGGUUGCCGUCGGUUUCCUGUGAUGAAAGCAAUUUUUCUCGUUUUUAAUUCUAUAAGAAAAAAUGCAAAACCGUUUAGAGAGUAACGUUGUAACGCUAGACAAACUGCGACUUCGUGUCAAUUCACUGGGUUCUCCAGUCGCUUGGCACAGUAAUUUUAAUGUUAGCCGUAAGCCCCAUCGCGCAUUGUCGAUAUUAGAAGC